rnacentral:lncRNA from 10 species
GACCACCCUAACAUCUUGCACUGUCUGGGGGCUCCCCGGGCUCAGCAACACCCACCUCUGUGGCUGGGAGCUGGGCUCAGCCACAUCCCUGCAACUUCUCCGGGACACCGCCAUCCAGCUACGCCAAGGCCUGACGGCGGCUCCAUGUUUCCUGCCAAUGGCGGUGCUAUUAAUUUGCUGCAUAUUCAAUGAGAGUACAGUGUUUACUUUUGUAAACAGAGUUCCUGGCCCAGAACAGGUUAACAGAUAUUCAUCAAAAGAAAGCAAGAGCCAGGCCUCACUCACUAAGCUAAAAGGAAAUGUAUAAAACAAACCAGAAUAAAGUGGAAGGAAUCACUCUACCCAAUUUCAAAACAUUAUAUUGCUGCAGCAGAAAUCAAAAUUCUGCAGUACUUGUGGCAGGAUGGACACAUAGGUCAAUUGGACAUCUAUAGGUGAAAAAAAAAAGAAAGAAAAAAAAGAAAAGGAAAGAAAAGAAAAAGGAGAGAAAGAA